rnacentral:rRNA from 1 species
GCCGGCGAGCGGCGGACGGGUGAGUAAUGUCUGGGAAACUGCCUGAUGGAGGGGGAUAACUACUGGAAACGGUAGCUAAUACCGCAUGACCUCAAAAGAGCAAAGUGGGGGAUCUUCGGACCUCACGCCAUCGGAUGUGCCCAAAUGGGAUUAGCUAGUAGGUGAGGUAAUGGCUCACCUAGGCGACGAUCCCUAGCUGGUCUGAGAGGAUGACCAGCCACACUGGAACUGAGACACGGUCCAGACUCCUACGGGAGGCAGCAAUGGGGAAUAUUGCACAAUGGGCGCAAGCCUGAUGCACCCAUGCCGCGUGUGUGAAGAAGGCCUUAUGGUUGUAAAGCACUUUCAGCGAGGAGGAAGGCAUCAUACUUAAUACGUGUGGUGAUUGACGUUACUCGCAGAAUAAGCACCGGCUAACUCCGUGCCAGCAGCCGCGGUAAUACGGAGGGUGCAAGCGUUAAUCGGAAUUACUGGGCGUAAAGCGCGCGCAUGCGGUUUGUUAAGUCAGAUGUGAAAUCCCCGCGCUUAACGUGGGAACUGCAUUUGAAACUGGCAAGCUAGAGUCAUGUAGAGGGGGGUAGAAUUCCAGGUGUAGCGGUGAAAUGCGUAGAGAUCUAGAGGAAUACCGGUGGCGAACGCGGCCCCCUGGACUAAGACUGACGCUCAAGUGCGAAAGC